GGGGAGGAGGGAGAUGCAGCUUCAAGGCUUUUGCCCUUCCUGAGGGAUCAGAAAAAGCCACGAAGACUCCUCGUAAACAACUUGAGAGAGAGAAUUGUGUCUCCCCUAUGGAGGUGGAUUGCUUGAGACAGAGUUCAAUAGAAGAUGUUAAACAGAUAAGUUGAGGGCAGGGGGACUGAGCUUUGGAAGAGGGCCUUUCAGGCAGCGAGGCCGCUGGCCUGUGGCUCCCUCUGAUGAGCUUCUUCUAAAGAUGGAGAAGAGUCCCUGACCAUUUUUGUGGACAAGCGGAAACUGGGAAGAAAGACAGAGACAACAGGAGGUGCCUCUAUAAUUGGGGGCAGUGGGAACAGCACAGCUGUGUCCCUGGAGACCC
rnacentral:sRNA from 1 species